CGCGACGGACACCCGGGCGGGGUCCGCAGCUGGGGAGAUCCACGGGAAGGGCCCGGCGCGAGUCCAGAGUCGCCGCCGCCAACCGCCAACCCGACCCCCUCCGAAACCGACCUGCCUUCCGCGGCGGACA